rnacentral:lncRNA from 1 species
AGAUUUUAUUUAUUUAUUCAUGAGAAACACAGAGGGAGAGGCAGAGACACAGGCAGAGGGAGAAGCAGGCUCCCUGAAGGAUCACGCUCCAAGCCAAAGGCAGAUAUCAACCACUGAGUGACCCAGGCAUUCCAAAUUUGUUUUAUUUUUGUUGACCGUGACAUGCUUUUUGGGUAUCUGACAUGAUUCCAGUUGUUUCUCUACGUCCUCUGUCCUCAGCAAGCUGCGUGUGAUUCCAGGUUGCUCAGCUCCUCUGUCCUACUCGUCGAAUUGAUCAUCCAGGAUGCAAAGAGCAGGCAACUACACAGUAACUUGAGCAUAACAAUAUGCUUGUAGCAAUAAGUCUGCAAUGGAUAUUCUAGGCUUGGGGCAGGGGCUCAACAAAAUCACCCAGAAAUGGCUGUUUCUUCCCUCUGCCUCCCACUGUGGGUUUUCUUGUCCUCAGGCUUGUCACUUCAGAGUUGCAAUGUGGCUGCCUUGGCGCCAGGAAUUAUAUUCUCAGCCAUGCUUCUCCGGCAUGUCUGGCUUUUUGCAGCAAACAAAAUUAUUCCCAGAAACGUUGCCAGAAGGUCUCUCCUAUCUCUCUAGCCCGACUGGGUAAUGUGGCCGCCUCCGGAGCUAAACUCUGGGAAAUGUGAAUGAGAUUACACUAAGAUCAUCAUGAUCUACCUGCUGGGGUUGGGCAUCCUGCUUCCCUUCACAAAAUUAGAGUGAAAGAGUAAUUUUAAAAUUAGAGUGUUAUGAAAGAAGGCAGAAGACCAUGGCAGUGAAUAGAGUCUUUUCUCCCUUCUGCAUUCUGGAAGUGUACUUUUCCCUUCUGGUGUCCCCAAAACUCACGGAUGGAAGCAAGCCCUGGGAAUGUUGAGAGGGAAAAGUGCAGCCGGCAGGUUACGUACAGCUGAGGUGUCGGAUCUGAUUGGAGUGACCUUGGACUCGGAUCCUAUCCUGAUGUUAUCAGUUACCCUGGAGGAACUAUUAGCAGACCCUAAGAACUGAUUUAAGUUGCUCAACCUCAUAGAAGGCUGAUUGGUAAACUCUAAUCUGUACACCUAGAGUGGAACAUCCUUUCAAAGAAGAAUUUGCAGCGGGCAGUUUAUCUGUGCUGGCUCCGAACCUACCCUGUAUACUGUGCUUAGUGGUGUUGGAGCUGGAAGCUGGCAAACCCACACUCCUGCAGGCUCACGGUUUGGCUCUGCCAGUAAGAGACUGCAGUGUUGCGAGGCUGGGAUGGGGAGAAGGGGCCUCCUCCUCCUAUCUGCUGCGGGGCUGCCUGGGGGCUCCUGGGAGCCUCAUUCCGAGGCCUCUCCAUUCUGGUGGCAGCAGCUGCUGAGCCUGGUAUGAGACUUUCCCAACACUUAAGAACCAGCAUGGUCAGAUCCCCCUCAGAGACCAGAGGCAGGUAGUGCAGCGCCCCUGCUCCUCUAGGUUUCUAAAUUGUAAUAAUCCUGACUUCUUCCUUUCAUUCCCCCCACCAGAUCAGUGGUAGAUGCUUCCUGCAGGUGCUACCUGUAUGAUGCCUUGGAAAUCUCUCUUUACCCUUUUAAUUACCCAGUUAACAAUUUUCUAUGUGUUAAUCUUUAUUUUCAUUUUAUUUUUUUAAAAGAUUUUAUUUAUUUAUUUAUUCAUGAGAGACACACAGAGGGAGGCAGAGACACAGGCAGAGGGAGAAGCAGGCUCCCUGUAAGGGAGCCCAUGUGAGACUCGAACCUGGGACCCCGGGACCAUGACCUGGGCCAAAGGUAGAUGCUCAACCGCUGAGCCACCCAGGUGCCCUGUAUGUGUUAAUCUUCAUGUUAAAUUCCCUGUUCAAAUAAUUGCUGUGACUUCUCUCCACUGACCAGACCUGACUCAGUGGCACUGUCGUGAAGACACAGAUGGCCAAAGGUUGAUGUUGGCACUAAUAUCUGAAAUUCGCAAAGGGACCUGAAAUCCUCCAUACUUCCUCACACCAAGUUACCUACUAUAGCAGUAGCUGACCUUUGGUAAGCCUCCAAAGGAGAAUAAGGACAGCUAAAAGCCAUUGUUUGUUAUUACAAUAAGGGGUUGGACACACACACACUCAUGUGGAAGCCCUAAUUUUCGGCUGAGCAGAGCUAGACCUGGUGAGAGCCCAUCUGAUUCGAAGGAGUCUGACCAUCCACCCUUUUUCUGGGCCCCUUUCAAAGCCUCAGGCAAGGAACAUACAGAGGCCUCUCUUGUCACCACCCAGUCCCAAAAAUCAUGGGACCAGAACCAGCAACAGUGAUGAGUAGUGCCGGCAGAUAUCGAAAGAAGAAAAUCCAAAGACCAGAAAUCUCAA